AUACGGAGGGGGCUAGCGUUGUUCGGAAUUACUGGGCGUAAAGCGUACGUAGGCGGACUGAUCAGUUGGGGGUGAAAUCCCAGGGCUUAACCCUGGAACUGCCUUCAAUACUGUCAGUCUUGAGUUUGGGAGAGGUGAGUGGAAUUCCUAGUGUAGAGGUGAAAUUCAUAGAUAUUAGGAGGAACACCAGUGGCGAAGGCGGCUCACUGGCCCAUUUCUGACGCUGAGGUACGAAAGCGUGGGGAGCAAACAGGAUUAGAAACCCCGGUAGUCC
rnacentral:rRNA from 1 species